UGACAUCUGUUCCUCUGAUGAAGCCUCUUAUGUUUUAUCAGAUUUCAGAAUGUCAGAGAGUAAAAACGAGUUGCUUCACCCAGAAUUGUAUCUCUAAUUACACUGUCUGGCUUUUGCGGAUUCAUACAGUU